UUAGCAAUCAAUUUUUUCAUCUGUUGACUUGAAAAUUUCCGGGAAGUUUUAUGUUUGAAAUUGAGAGAAAGUGGGGUUUUUUUUUUGUUUUCAGGAAAGGUUUUCCAAAACUUUAAUGUAGUACAGAGCUGCUACCGACAAAAUAAGCAGUUUAAGACACGAUACCAAAGAGAACCUGACCUGUUCAUGUCUACUUUACUUCCCUGUCCAAGAGAGAAGAUGGCAUUUAACCUCAACUCUUCCAUGCGUGCCCACACUUUGUCUAAAUACCAGUUUGUUCUUUCAAAGCAAAGAACUUUUUACUGCAAUGGUCCGUUCUAGGCUUCUUUAGUAUUUUUUUCCCGGCAUCAAAUUUUUUAUAGCCCUGCAUUUGUGUAUUGUUAAGCUUACCGAAAUAGUACAAACAGUUCACAAUGAGACCGAUGGUGACAACAGCUGAAGUAGCAACAAAAUACUGAAUAGGCAUUGCUUCAGCCAUUGUGAGCUGUGCAAGCACAAUGUGAGUAGAGACCACUCCCAGUGUUUGCACCACAGCUGCUUCUUUUUCUCUCUUCUUAGCAAAAUAAGAAAGCAACGAAAGGUUUCCUAACAAACCAGUCAACAUUCCCUGUAUCCAAAAAACAAACUCUAGCAGUUUCAGAUUCUAUCUAUCACAUCCACUAAAUCCCCUGUAGAAAAAACUGAUCUAUGUAAUAUAAUAUCUUUCAUUACCAGCCAUGGGACAGCCGAAAGAGCGGUAUUGUUUCCCGCCAAAAGAUUCUGGGUAUUGAGGAUGAUCUGAGGCAAUUGGAGCAUGAGAAACGGAAUGUUUGCUCCACCGGAGAACUUGGCCGUCCAUGAGUCCCAUUCUUGGUAUUCCUUAAAUUUCCCCAAACCUGGAUUUCCCUUUGAGAAAAAACCCAAAAUAAAAAACAUCCACCAACCAAAAAUUAACAAAAUUGAGCGUUUGAUUUUAGAAUUCAUAUGCUCAGAAAUUCAAACCGCACCUGCUGAUUCUCGUGAGGGAAGUCGGAGUCCGAGUCCGAUUCCGAGUUAAUUGAACGAACAGGAACGAGUCGGCGAGUCGAAACAAUGGAAUUCCACCGAGUCAAGCCAUUGACGCCGGAACAAGAGACAGCACCACCGAUAGACGCACGCUUUAGAGGCAGGCUAGAGAGCCGGGAUGUAAAAACGAAGGAAGAGCGAGGAGAACACGGGAAUAUCAAUACACGAUCACCACCGAGAGACGUCGCGAUGGCUUUACCUUCCAUGGGAAUGUGAGAGAAUUAUUGUAGUACUUGGGUUUGGAACAGAGAGGAGGAAGAAGAAGGGUACAUCAGUGAAAUCAUGUAAGUGAGAGUGUUCUUGGGCCGGGAAAGAGAUGCACGUGGACGGUUGGUAUUAUCGUUAAUUGUAGCAAUGAUCAUGUGCUCUUUUGUAUUGAUCCUAGAUUUUGUUUUCUUCAAGUUUCGGUAACAGAGGAUAUAAAAAUUGAGUCAAAACUAGAAGAAAAAUUCAAAAACACGAAUAUCUUUUGAAAUGGCUUGAAACCCAAUAGCUUUGGCUAGAGAAAAGUCCAUUAUGUUGUGUAAGCCCAUUAUCUCACAAACGUCUUUUGCCAAAAACACAAUUCUCAACAACUACACAAUCGAAGUCGAACUCUCAGGAUUCAAUCUUGAUACCAAAGAGAAACAGAAAUAAACUAACAUCAUCGCUACUGUCGCCUAUAAUCUUGUGAGCUCUUUAUCGUCUUCAAUGGAAGGUAGACUUUCUUAAAUGAAUUGCUUUUGAUAAUUUUCAGUUUUCAUUAGUCGAUUGUGUAGUCGAGCUUCCAAAGCUGGAUCCUUCAAAAUUCCUUAGUGUUGGUGUUUGAUUCAGUUCGAUGAUGUAAAAACUCAAAUAAGAGUGAUUCUAGAAUGGGAAAUUUUCUAUAGAAAGGUAGACUCUGUUCUGCUGUCUCAUUUUGAAGUUUUCCUUUUUGGAUUACCAAACCUGCUAGCUUCUUACUCAAUUUCACCUUUUUAGCAAUCAAUUUUUUCAUCUGUUGACUUGAAAAUUUCCGGGAAGUUUUAUGUUUGAAAUUGAGAGAAAGUGGGGUUUUUUUUUUGUUUUCAGGAAAGGUUUUCCAAAACUUUAAUGUAGUACAGAGCUGCUACCGACAAAAUAAGCAGUUUAAGACACGAUACCAAAGAGAACCUGACCUGUUCAUGUCUACUUUACUUCCCUGUCCAAGAGAGAAGAUGGCAUUUAACCUCAACUCUUCCAUGCGUGCCCACACUUUGUCUAAAUACCAGUUUGUUCUUUCAAAGCAAAGAACUUUUUACUGCAAUGGUCCGUUCUAGGCUUCUUUAGUAUUUUUUUCCCGGCAUCAAAUUUUUUAUAGCCCUGCAUUUGUGUAUUGUUUCCCUAUUUUGCUUGGCAAAGAGAUGUGGUGUUCCUUAAAUCUCUUUUUUCUUGUUGAAAUGGGUGCCUUACUUUGGAGUUUUCAUU
rnacentral:lncRNA from 1 species